rnacentral:rRNA from 1 species
GAACGAGAAAGUGGAGCAAUCCAUGAGUAAAGUGGCGACCGGGUGAGUAACACGUGACUAACCUACCCUUGAGUGGGGGAUAACCUCGGGAAACCGGGGCUAAUACCGCAUAACAUCGCAAGAUCAAAGGAGCAGUCCGCUGAAGGAGGGGGUCGCGGCUGAUUAGCUAGUUGGUGAGGUAACGGCUCACCAAGGCGAAGAUCAGUAGCCGGCCUGAGAGGGCGCACGGCCACACUGGAACUGAAACACGGUCCAGACUCCUACGGGAGGCAGCAGUGGGGAAUUUUGCGCAAUGGGGGAAACCCUGACGCAGCAACGCCGCGUGGAGGAUGAAGUCCCUUGGGAUGUAAACUCCUUUCGAUCGGGACGAUGAUGACGGUACCAGAAGAAGAAGCACCGGCUAACUCUGUG